rnacentral:rRNA from 1 species
UACGUAGGGGGCAAGCGUUGUCCGGAUUUAUUGGGCGUAAAGCGCUCGCAGGCGGUCCGAUGCGUCGUGCGUGAAAGCCCCCGGCUCAACUGGGGAGGGUCGUGCGAUACGGUCGGACUUGAGGCCAGUAGGGGGAUGCGGAAUUCCGGGUGUAGUGGUGGAAUGCGUAGAGAUCGGGAAGAACAUCGGUGGCGAAAGCGCUCUACUGGGCCAUAACUGACACUCAGGGACGAAAGCUAGGGGAGCGAAUGGG